GCUAUGGAGAAAAGGUGGGCAGUUGUGUUUGAUUUCGUCUCUCUGGGAAAAUACCCAUCUGGGUAUAAUAAGUCCCAAAAAUUAAACCUAAGGAGGUACGCUUCCAAAUUCACAAUAAAGGAAGGAGAUCUCUUCUUUGGAUGUAGAAGAGUCAUCAAGUCCAAAGAAGAUGCAAGAAAGCUCUUCAAAGAGUUUCACUCCUCUCCAAUUGGAGGGCAUUCAGGCAUCCUGAAAACACGCACUGCAAUAAGCUCCAGAUUUUACUGGCUUGGCAUGUCCAUCGAUAUUGACAACUGGGUGUCUGCUGUCUGGGAGCUUAUUGGAAUCGACUUGACAGGACCUCUCCCAAAGACUGUGGAUGGCUUCCAAUAUAUACUGACAGCCACAGACUACUUUUCAAAAUGGGUUGAGGCUUUCCCAUUAAAGAGCAAAACAGCAGCAGAAGUGGGACGCCAUAUAUGCUCUAUUAUAUAUAGACAUGGGUGUCCCAAAAGAAUCCUCUCUGACCAGGGAAGAGAAUUUGUGAACGAACUCAACAGCAGCCUCUGUAAUUUGUUGUCGAUUGAAAG